rnacentral:lncRNA from 1 species
GGCAAGAUUUGGUGGGGUUUUGUACGAAUUCAUCUGAUACCUACCGAGGGAGAUAACAUAUUGGGGGAUGAUCAAGCAAUAUUGGUUGCAAGCUUGAUAGAUAGAACUCCCUUGGAUUUUAGAGAAAUUAUAGCAGAAGAGAUCAAUUGGCUCACAAGACCCAAUACUGCAUAUCCAUUCCCAUGUCUAAUCACUAGGUUGUGUGAUGAAGCUAAUAUGCCUGAGAUAUCAGGAAUUGAUGUUGAGUUACAUGCCAAGAAGACCCACAACCCUAUCAAAAAAGAUGAAAUUCAGCAGGGCUUGCAACU